rnacentral:rRNA from 1 species
UACGGAGGGUGCAAGCGUUGUUCGGAAUUACUGGGCGUAAAGGGCGCGUAGGCGGUUGUGUAAGUCAGAUGUGAAAUCCUUCGGCUUAACCGGAGAACUGCAUUUGAUACUGCAUGACUCGAGUAUUGGAGAGGGAAACGGAAUUCCCGGUGUAGAGGUGAAAUUCGUAGAUAUCGGGAGGAACACCGGUGGCGAAGGCGGUUUCCUGGCCAAAUACUGACGCUGAGGCGCGAAAGCGUGGGUAGCAAACAGG